rnacentral:rRNA from 1 species
GACAGAGGUGCCAAGCGUUAGGCGGAAUCACUGGGCUUAAAGCGUGUGUAGGUGGAUUUGUAAGUACCUUGUGAAAUCCCAUGGCUCAACCAUGGAACUGCUCGGUAUACUGCGAAUCUUUGAGCCACUUAGGGGCUACCGGAACAAAUGGUGGAGCGGUGAAAUGCGCAGAUAUCAGGAGGAACACCAAUAGCGAAGGCAGCUCGCUGGGACGGUAUUGACGCUAAGGCGCGAAAGCGUGGGGAGCAAACAGG